rnacentral:rRNA from 1 species
GGAGGGUGCAAGCGUUAUCCGGAUUUAUUGGGUUUAAAGGGUGCGUAGGCGGCCUGUUAAGUCAGGGGUGAAAGUCGGCAGCUCAACUGUCGAAUUGCCUUUGAUACUGGCAGGCUUGAAUCAAGUUGAAGAGGGCGGAAUGUGACAUGUAGCGGUGAAAUGCUUAGAUAUGUCCCAGAACACCGAUUGCGAAGGCAGCUCUCUAAGCUUGUAUUGACGCUGAUGCACGAAAGCGUGGGGAUCAAACAGGAUUAGAUACCCUGGUAGUCCACGCCGUAAACGAUGAUCACUCGCUGUUGGCGAUACACAGUCAGCGGCCAAGCGAAAGCGAUAAGUGAUCCACCUGGGGAGUACGAUCGCAAGGUUG